rnacentral:rRNA from 1 species
AGGAAUAUUGGUCAAUGGGCGUAAGCCUGAACCAGCCAAGUAGCGUGAGGGAAGACUGCCCUAUGGGUUGUAAACCUCUUUUGUGCGGGGAUAAAGUGUGGGACGUGUCCCAUAUUGCAGGUACCGCACGAAUAAGGACCGGCUAAUUCCGUGCCAGCAGCCGCGGUAAUACGGAAGGUCCGGGCGUUAUCCGGAUUUAUUGGGUUUAAAGGGAGCGCAGGCCGUCCUUUAAGCGUGCUGUGAAAUGCCGCGGCUCAACCGUGGCACUGCAGCGCGAACUGGAGGACUUGAGUACGCACGAGGUAGGCGGAAUUCGUGGUGUAGCGGUGAAAUGCUUAGAUAUCACGAAGAACUCCGAUUGCGAAGGCAGCUUACCGGAGCGCAACUGACGCUGAGGCUCGAAAGCGCGGGUAUCGAACAGGAUUAGAUACCCUGGUAGUCCGCGCGGUAAACGAUGGAUGCCCGCCGUUGGGAUUUAGAUUUCAGCGGCCAAGCGAAAGCGUUAAGCAUCCCACCUGGGGAGUACGCCGGCAACGGUGAAACUCAAAGGAAUUGACGGGGGCCCGCACAAGCGGAGGAACAUGUGGUUUAAUUCGAUGAUACGCGAGGAACCUUACCCGGGCUUGAAUUGCAGGAGAACGAUCCAGAGAUGGUGAGGCCCUUCGGGGCUCCUGUGAAGGUGCUGCAUGGUUGUCGUCAGCUCGUGCCGUGAGGUGUCGGCUCAAGUGCCAUAACGAGCGCAACCCCUGUCCAUAGUUGCCAUCAGGUCGUGCUGGGCACUCUGUGGAGACUGCCGCCGUAAGGUGUGAGGAAGGUGGGGAUGACGUCAAAUCAGCACGGCCCUUACGUCCGGGGCUACACACGUGUUACAAUGGGGCAUACAGCGAGUUGGAUGUGCGCAAGUACGUCCGGAUCAAUAAAGUGCCUCUCAGUUCGGACUGGGGUCUGCAACCCGACCCCACGAAGCUGGAUUCGCUAGUAAUCGCGCAUCAGCCAUGGCGCGGUGAAUACGUUCCCG